UAAGUAAAAGUCGUAACAAGGUCACUGUAGGUGAACCUGCAGUGGGAUCAUUAAAAAGCACACCCACUCUUAAUAACGAGCGACUUCUCUUUCUUUUCUCCUUUUUUCUUCAUCGCGCGCGCGAUAGAAAGGAGGGGAUCGGUCGGUUGACCAAAAAAACUCCAAAAAUAGUGGAGUACGAGAUUAGAAAUCAACCACAUCAUUACACCGUCCUCUGAUGAUGAAUGGAUUGAUGAAACGAUGAAACAAAGGCCAUCACCACACCAUCCUCUGGUGAUGAAAAUCGUUGAAAUAC
rnacentral:misc_RNA from 1 species